UGCCCAGCAACUCCUAUCCCUACCUCCACGCGGUACCUGCCGGGAGCAACCUUAGGGAAGAUCGGGUAACCAACCCCGGUGGGAACUUUGGUCGUAGGCUGACAGGGAAGG
rnacentral:ribozyme from 1 species